rnacentral:piRNA from 1 species
UGGAUCUGCAGGUUGCAAGGGACAGCUGGU